UGAAGUGUGAACGUUUAUUUCAUGUAAAUUCUAUCACAGGUGAGAACCAAAUGUUUAAUAUAUACACAGGAAGUAGAGCUACCAAAAUAAAAGCAUGCGGGCAGAACUCAGCGUAUUUACAGGCUCCAGUUAGUUUGCAGCCGAAGGCACCAAAUGAGGAAGUAGAAGCUCGUUGUUGGUUUGUUGGAGGAACUAAAGUUUAAACUCAUGGUUUAACAGUCGCAGAGUGAAAUAAGGCCGACAAACUUUCUGCUGAGACGUUAAAAUCAGAAGCUACAGGAGAUCACAACUUAAUUUAUUUAACUUCAGACUCCAUUUCCUGCUGAAACAACCGACUGAAACCCAGUUAGGCUCUGAAUUUGUCAUGUCUAAACUUGUCUCAUUUUUACCAUUUUGGGUCGGCUUUGUGUCAUUUUAUGUUAGAAUUUGUCUAAUUUUUAUCAUUUUCUGUUUUGUCUCAUUUCUAUCAUUUUGUGUCUUAAUUUGUGUCAUUUUUGUCAUUUUGUGUCUUAAUUUGUCUCAUUUUUUAUCGUGUUGUGUCUUAAUUUUUCUCAUUUUAUGUCUCACUUUGUCUAAUUUUUAUAAUUUUGUGUCUCCUUUGUGUCGUUUUAUGUCCUAAUUUGUCCAGUUUCUGUAAUUUAGAUUUUUAUUUCUGGUAUUUUGUGUCUCAUUUCUGUCAUUUUUUUUCUUAAUUUGUCAAAGUUGCGUCACUUUAUGUCUUGUUUUCUUCAUUUUUUGUCUCCUUUCUGUUGUUUUUGCACUAAUUUAUCUACCUUUUGUCAUUCUAUGUCUCGUUUGUCUUUAUUUGUCCAGUUGUUUUUUUUUGUCAUUUUCAAUAUUUGUUGUGUUUUUUUGUCUCAUUUCUCUAAUUUAUCAUUUUAGGUCUUGUUUGUGUUGUUUUGUUUGUGUCAUAUUUUGUACCUUCAUGUUACUUUGUGUCUCAUUUUUUUCCUUCUGUGUCUCUGUAACAGAUUUUCAUGAGGCUUGAAUUGUUUCAGACAAAUUUCAAGGCAUGUUGUGCAACUUUUAAGUCUUCUAGGACAGACUCUGACUUAUUUAAGACGUUUUUGGUUGUUUAGGACAAAUUCUGAGUAUUUCUGGACAAAUUUCAAGUCUAUUUGGACAGACAUUUCUGGUCAUUCUGGGACAGUUUUGGGCAACUUUCCACCAUUUUCGGAAGAUUUUCAGUCUAAUAUCUGUUUUUGACAAGGUUACAAAGUGCUUCUAGACAAAUUUCGAGUAAUUCUGAGCGAACUGCAAGGCCUUUUGCUCAACUUCUGGUUGAUUUUCAGUAAUUUUCGACAAGGUUCGAAGACUUUUGUGCAAUUUUGAAAAUAUUUUACACAAAUUUUAGGAAAUUUUGCACUAUUUUGGAGUUGUUUUUGUCCACACUGACCAAACUGUAGCUUCAUUUUUAGCGUCACAACAAACCGACGAAUGGUUCCAGCUCCGGCUCCUCGUUGGUUUGAGGACGAUGAAGUUUCAAGCAGCAGAACGUCGGUUGUGGAAGUGAGGAGGAAACUCCUCACAGUUUAUUGCUGACGUUCUGAUCAUCCGAACCUUCGGAUACGUUGGGAAUAUUUCACAUUUUUCCGGUGGAAGUCUCGGAGGGACUCACAUUCGGUUCAGUUUGUUCCCAACAAAAGCAGCUGAUUUAAAACGUUUAAGAUCAUCAUCAGAUAUUUGACAGGAUUUAGGAAUGAAACCAACAGUAGUCUCCACUCGGCAGCAGAUUCACCUUUCAGUGGUUUGAAAUAUUUACAGCAGAAAUACACCAGAUGCGACGUUUAUCGGCUGGUUUUCCAUUUAAAAGCAUCUUUUUAGUCCUUUAAAUCCAUGCAACCGUCGGAAUGGGGCUUUUUUUCUAGACAGAUUUCUACCUUUGGAUUGAGAAAGUGGAAAAAGAAACAUACAUUUAUACAUUAACAUUAGCAGGUCCGCUAAUAAAACUUAGCAUGAAACUGAGAACAGAUAAAAAACAAGUUUUAUUGGGAUGUUAUAUUAAAAAUACGCAUUUUUGCAGUUUUGGACAUAUUUUGAGACAUUAUUUAAAUAAAUAAAUAAUUUUUAUUUUAU
ensembl:lncRNA